GUAGGGAAUAUUGCGCAAUGGACGAAAGUCUGACGCAGCGACGCCGCGUGAGUGAUGAAGGCCUUAGGGUCGUAAAGCACUGUUGAAUGGGAAGAAAAAAAUGACGGUACCAUUCGAGGAAGGACCGGCUAACUUCGUGCCAGCAGCCGCGGUAAUACGAGGGGUCCUAGCGUUGUUCGGAUUCAUUGGGCGUAAAGGGUGUGUAGGUGGCCAUGUAAGUCAGGUGUGAAAGCCCCGGGCUGAACCCGGGAAGUGCACUUGAUACUGCGUGGCUUGAGUACCGAAGAGGGUAGUGGAAUUCCAGGUGUAGUGGUGAAAUACGUAGAUAUCUGGAGGAACACCGGUGGCGAAGGCGGCUACCUGGUCGAGUACUGACACUGAGACACGAAAGCAUGGGGAUCAAACAGGAUUAGAAACCCUUGUAGUCC
rnacentral:rRNA from 1 species